rnacentral:rRNA from 1 species
CGCUGGCGGCGUGCCUAAUACAUGCAAGUCGAGCGAAUGACGAGGAGCUUGCUCCUCUGAUUAGCGGCGGACGGGUGAGUAACACGUGGGCAACCUGCCCUGUAGACUGGGAUAACUUCGGGAAACCGGAGCUAAUACCGGAUAAUCCAUUUCACCUCAUGGUGAAAUGUUAAAAGGCGCAUCUCGCGUCACUACAGGAUGGGCCCGCGGUGCAUUAGCUAGUUGGUGGGGUAACGGCCUACCAAGGCAACGAUGCAUAGCCGACCUGAGAGGGUGAUCGGCCACAUUGGGACUGAGACACGGCCCAAACUCCUACGGGAGGCAGCAGUAGGGAAUCUUCCACAAUGGACGAAAGUCUGAUGGAGCAACGCCGCCGUGAGUGAUGAAGGUUUUCGGAUCGUAAAACUCUGUUGUAAGGGAAGAACAAGUACGUUAGGAAAUGAACGUACCUUGACGGUACCUUAUUAGAAAGCCACGGUUAACUACGUGCCAGCAGCUGC